AUUGAACGCUGGCGGCAUGCCUUACACAUGCAAGUCGAACGGCAGCACGGGUGCUUGCACCUGGUGGCGAGUGGCGAACGGGUGAGUAAUACAUCGGAACAUGUCCUGUAGUGGGGGAUAGCCCGGCGAAAGCCGGAUUAAUACCGCAAACGAACCACGGAUGAAAGCGGGGGACCUUCGGGCCUCGCGCUUUCGGGUUGGCCGAUGGCUGAUUAGCUAGUUGGUGGGGUAAAGGCCUACCAAGGCGACGAUCAGUAGCUGGUCUGAGAGGACGACCAGCCACACUGGGACUGAGACACGGCCCAGACUCCUACGGGAGGCAGCAGUGGGGAAUUUUGGACAAUGGGCGAAAGCCUGAUCCAGCAAUGCCGCGUGUGUGAAGAAGGCCUUCGGGUUGUAAAGCACUUUUGUCCGGAAAGAAAUCCUUGACUCUAAUACAGUCGGGGGAUGACGGUACCGGAAGAAUAAGCACCGGCUAACUACGUG
rnacentral:rRNA from 1 species